UACGGAGGGGGCCAGCGUUGUUCGGAAUCAUUGGGCGUAAAGGGCGCGUAGGCGGCCAAGCAAGUCGGAGGUGAAAUCCCUCGGCUCAACCGGGGAACUGCCCCCGAUACUGCUUGGCUCGAGUCCCGGAGAGGGUAGUGGAAUUCCCAGUGUAGCGGUGAAAUGCGUAGAUAUUGGGAGGAACACCGGUGGCGAAGGCGGCUACCUGGACGGGUACUGACGCUGAGGCGCGAAAGCGUGGGGAGCAAAC
rnacentral:rRNA from 1 species